rnacentral:misc_RNA from 1 species
GUGAAUCAUCGAAUCUUUGAACGCAAAUUGCACUCUCCUCGGAGAGUAUGCCUGUUUGAGGGUCAGCCUAAAAAAAAUCGACAUCGUUGCUGCUUCGCGGUGACGUUCGUCGGAAAUUGGGUCAUCUUAAAUCUUUUGGUUUAAGCGACUUAAAAUUUUCUUGAUUCCAUGAACGUUUCUAAGAUUUUAUAUCUUUACACGUUUAAGGUAUCGAUUUAUUAGACGUGGCCGUCAUAUCGGAUCGCGUCCAUAAUCUUUCAUUAACUGACCUCAUACAGGUAAGAACACCCGCUGAACUUAA